CGAGAGUAUAAUUAAUUCAUAAUAAAAUAUAUUAAAUUAAAUAUAUAUUUAUCUAGAUCUAAACUUCAUAACUUACUAAGAUAUAUAGUGGCAACAGGUUGGAUCUAACACUGUUUUAUUCUGCAAAACGGUCCCAUUCAUCACGGUUUAAAUCUUUCAACCAUUGCAUUAAUUUGAUAGACAGUCAACGUCGUUUCGAAACAGUGGUCCUAAGUAAGGCCAAAUCGGGUAGACCACUCAAGAAUAUUGUACGAAGUAGGUCUAAUAAGAAUUGAGGGAAGUGCGAAAAGUAUUACCGACUACUUCGUUACUUCGGAGUAACACCUUCAACAAUGAUUCCUAGUAGGAACGAGUGGAAUGAGUCCGAAGUUAUGCUUGAGGGGUAUGCAGUUUUAAAUGAUGGAUCUAAGAUGGAAUGUGCUACAGAGGCCGGAUUUUAUGUGGAUGAUAACAUAAGAGUGUCCUACAGACUUCCGGCAUUCCCACUACAAUCGAUUCAUCGCAACGGAACAACUCGGAGUUCAACGAACAACGACCAAGGAUUGUCAACCCAACCACACCGUGUCGCUGCUACAACAACAGACUUCCACACAAAUGUAGUCCAUCUGGCGCAGAUCUUGCCAUACAUCAUAAACAUUAAAGAUAUUAUUAAUACAUACAUUACCAGCUUGAUAACUAACUUGGUAACUGCAGAGGGAACCUGGCAUCAGAUUAUAGACAGUGAGGCUGUGUUGGUUACAGGGACAGUGUGAUAUCGUUAGAUAGGCUUCUGAACUUAAUCUUAUUAGUAGGGAUAGUUCUCUAAAACUCCCUAUCGUUAUUACUACAGACUUAUCUUUGAAAAACACUAUUUGAAAAUACUAUUAGGAAUGGAUAGGAAGAGUAUAAGGACUUUAGUAGGGGUUAAAAAUGGUUACUGGGCAACUGUUGCUUUUGUAGGUUGUGUGCGAAGAAAGAGGAACUGGAAACAAUAGGCAUAUCUUAGCCAUUUUCCCAGAUUACAGAGUCUAAGACUAAAAUAGCUAUUUAGAAGAUUCCACGAUAAACGUGAGAUGUAGCAGUAUGUGACUUUGGUUUAUUUCAGUUCAUUUCAAAGGGUAUACAACCCUUUGAAGUAAACUGAACACGGUUAUGGUUGCGAUUUUUUUUAUUUUUCCAAUAGGUGAUAUCUUCAACAAAAACCUGAGAGAUUUUAAGUUUCUUUAAACGUGCGAUACUAUUGUAUAAAUUUAGGAACAUAUUUAUUAUAAGCAACGUCGUUUCAAAGCGCUCAACCUAAUAGGUUUCAAAUAAUGCAAACCUGAUGCAACUAUUUCCUUCUACAACUUAAUCCUUUUCUUGUCUAAUAUAUAUCGCUUAAAAUUUACAUUAAUUGUAACUGUAAGAGACACAGCUAUGGCAUUGUUUGACUAUAAAUAUUCAUGCAUACAAAUAAAUCUAAUAAAUAAAUACAAAAUAAAACCAAAAUCAACAAUCAACAAUGUCUCUCAACAACUUGUUUUCAUUUUGUAUUUAUUAUUAUUUUUUUGUAGUUAGUUUUUGGUUGGGGGCAUAAAGGGAAGAAUAAUCGUUCGAAUAUUGCGACGACAACGACAGCAACGAAUGCGUGACCUUCAUUUCAUUUCAAUUCAAGUUGUUGCUGUUAAUAGCGCAAACGGCAACGUUACCGACAAUUUCUUCCAAAAGUUCCAGUA